rnacentral:rRNA from 1 species
GACGUAGGUGGCAAGCGUUGUCCGGAUUUACUGGGCGUAAAGAGCGCGCAGGCGGUCGUUCAAGUCGCGUGUGAAAGCCCCCGGCUCAACUGGGGAGGGUCACUCGAUACUGAUCGACUUGAAGGCAGGAGAGGGAAGCGGAAUUCCCGGUGUAGUGGUGAAAUGCGUAGAUAUCGGGAGGAACACCAGUGGCGAAGGCGGCUUCCUGGCCUGUUCUUGACGCUGAGGCGCGAAAGCUAGGGGAGCAAACGGG